UAAUAAUCAAUCGCAUACGGAGUCCUGUCCACCAUCUAGGCGGUUGCUUCUACUGCACUCCCUCCUCUAAAUGGGAAUGCAGCAGCUGCAUGUGCAAUUCACGGUUAGCAUCGUUGUUAGCACAGUGACCUUCAAGAGUAGUCUACAAGACGGUACCUUGCAUAAUAUGAUUGUUUUCCACAGGGUUCUCUUUGGGUCUAGAAGUAGUAACGAAGAUCAGUUCUCAUGGUAGACAAUGCAGAAUUCUGAUGAUGGG
rnacentral:sRNA from 1 species